UACGAAGGGGGCUAGCGUUGCUCGGAAUCACUGGGCGUAAAGGGCGCGUAGGCGGCUUGAUAAGCGUGCGGUGAAAGCCCGGAGCUCAACUCCGGAACUGCCAUUGAAACUGUUUAGCUUGAGGACGAGAGAGGUGAGUGGAAUUCCCAGUGUAGAGGUGAAAUUCGUAGAUAUUGGGAAGAACACCGGUGGCGAAGGCGGCUCACUGGCUCGUUUCUGACGCUCAGGCGCGAUAGCGUGGGGAUCAAACAGG
rnacentral:rRNA from 1 species